UACGGAGGGUGCAAGCGUUAUCCGGAAUCACUGGGUUUAAAGGGUGCGUAGGCGGUCAGAUAAGUCAGUUGUGAAAUACCCCGGCUUAACCGGAGGAACUGCGAUUGAUACUGUUUGACUUGAAUCAGGUUGAGGUAGGCGGAAUGUGGCAUGUAGCGGUGAAAUGCUUAGAUAUGCCAUAGAACACCGAUUGCGAAGGCAGCUUGCUGGGCCUGUAUUGACGCUGAGGCACGAAAGCGUGGGGAGCAAACAGG
rnacentral:rRNA from 1 species